AGCUCAAUACCAACGGAGGAGCUAAGUGGAGUGCCGCGCGAACGAAGAGAAAGACGGCGACGUUCGAUCCACGCAAAGGGAGCGGGCAACCAAAUUACGGAAGAAACACCCCACCCCACCGACGCCCACCGAAGUAGGAAGCUGUCACACCAAUAUGGCAAGUGGUUCCAGCACGCCGUCAACGCCAACGCCGUCAACGCCAACGCCAAACACGACCGAAAUAUCGCAACGCAGCGACGUAUCUGCGAAGGGAGGU